AACAGGAAGGCGGCCACGAAGCCGUUGAGGUUGUUGACGCACGGCGUCCACGCCGCGUCGCCCAGGUGCUCCAGGUCGCCGCGGCCGUAGGCCACCAGCCACCAGAUGGCGCCGAAGAAGAGCCAGGGUACGGACGCAGACAAACCUCCCCUUUGAACCUGCUUCCCGGGGUGUGCGGAUCACACGAGGCAACCCAGAUAGAAGGGCUUUAAAGUGUAUUUUGCUACUACCGAAAAGUCUGGAAACAACGCAAACGUCCAACGGAGAGAAAAGCCUAGAGCAAGGUCAAAGAGGAGACGAGGCCGAAGUCGGAAGGAAUGAAUCUGAAAGGAGCAAUCGAGAAGACAGUUGGCUACACUGAGAGAAGGGGGUAGGUCUUCAGAGAAAGAUGGUUCCCCUACCCACCACGGAGGGGUGGUCCAGAAUUAGUCCUCACUUCACGGGGAACAGACGGGUCCCAGGAGAAGGUGGUGGUCAUGGAUGUCACAACCGUGGCAAAUUUUUCAUACUAACCUGCGUGCGUGUUGACAAGAUUACGUUUAACCUACGCAAAUUCACUCUAGUGAGAGGAGCUUUGGAGCCAAACACGUGUGGGUUCAGGUUCUGAAACUAACACCUUCUAACUAUGUAACCAUAGGCAAGGCAAGCCACUUCACCUCUCGGAGCCUCGGUUUCCCCAUCUCAAGUGAUAUAUGUAUCUUCUAUCAUAAACACUCACAAAUACCAAUUCCUUAUGUCCUUUAUCAUGGGUUCCCUAUUGGGCUUCUAGUGACUAUUCUAGGACUUUCUUUUUUUUAAUGUAAGCUCUACACCCAGCAUGGGGCUUGAACUCACAACUUGGAGAUCAAGAGUUGCAUGGUCUACCGACUGAGCCAGCCAGGCGCCCUUAGGACCUCUUUUCCGUAAAAAGAUUUGAGAAAGUGAGAACUGUUGUUCGACAAUAUCUACAAAGGAAUAUAUGCGAUGGGUACAUGUGUAUAUAUGUUGUAACACAUGACUUAAGAACAAAAACUCCAUUUAAGUCACUCUUUUAAAAGUAGAAAACCACAGUUCCAUUUGAGCCAUCUGUACUUUUCCACGGUCUUGCACCCUUGCCGUUCUAGAACUUCUGAGCUCUUUCUAGUUGCCCGGUCCCGCCCCACACCGUGAUUUUUAGCAAAUGGCUCUUCUGCUUUCCAGGGAAGGUGCAAGCCAUUUGCAAAGAACUCCUCCAGAGACCUCUCCUUCACCACGAGGAGAAACACAGAAAUAAAGAAGUCACGAGGGCUGCCAGCCUUGAGGAGGAAGAAGAUAAGUUCGGUUUGGGGCCUGUCCGGGCGGAGCGGAAAUCCCCCACCAGCAGCUGGAACUGAGAUGCUCGAAAGAAAGCCCAAGGCUGAACACAGAGAUCUGAGUGUAACUUGGAGAUGAGAGCCAGAGCGUUGUCAGUGAUGAAGGCUCCACCUCAGACACAGAAAGAGAUCAAGGACACGAAGAGAACACAGGACCAACCCUUCGGCAUUGGAGGAGCGAGCGGCUGUAGGUUUGGGCGCACAGGGCCAGUGGAGGCGGACGGGGCUGGAAGGACACCACGUCUAAGUCACAGCGGGCCUUCUGUCCCACGGCGAGGCAUCUGGAUUUUCCUUCUGGCCGACGGGCGGCCACUGAAGGCUUUUACAUUGGGAAGGGACACAGUCAGGUUUGUGUUUCAGAGAGCUGGUACCUUACAGGUGUUCAGCCUUAAAUGUAGGAGUUCAUGAUCCGCAGGAUUGUUCGAGUGACGGAAACUGGAGGUGGGGAUGCUCGUGAGAGGGCAGCUGCAGAGAUCCUGGCCAGAGAGGGGCGGUGUCCUGGGGCACAGCUGAAGGAUGCGGCAGAGAGGAGGGGGCAGGCUCUGGUUAGCUCAGAUGAGGUGAGAAAGAGAAAAGAAUCAAGGCUCUGGCAUUGCGGUCUGCUGGCCCCUCCCUCCAAACCAUCUCGCUCACCUCCAGAUUUAUCUUCCUAAAAUUCUGCCAGGGCUUCGUCUGUCCUCGGCUCAAGACUUGGCCUCCAGGAACCCAGAGCUGACCCCCAGCUGGCACCGUCCUCUCUUUCCCCAACACAGACACCUCACCUGUGGCGCCUGGCUUGCGGCCCAGCUCCCUCCCCCAGGGGGGCUAGUUCAAAUGUACAUUUACCCAGCGUAUGGCUUCUAGAGGCAGAUCUAAACUAAAACGUUUCAGGUUUC